rnacentral:rRNA from 1 species
UAACCGCUGAAAGCAUCUAAGCGGGAAGCCCACCUCAAGAUUAGACUUCCCUGGGACUUUAAGUCCCCUGAAGACUCCAGAGAGACUAUCUGGUUGAUAGGCUGCAGAUGUAAGCAUGGUGACAUGUUCAGUCGAGCAGUACUAAUAAGUCGUGAGGCUUGACCAU